rnacentral:lncRNA from 1 species
UUGUCUUGUUGUCCACACAAGUGAUUCUAUAAAUAGAACCCUUGUGUUGAAGCAUUACUAACUUUUUGUGAGUGCUUAACCUAAUUCACAAAAGUUGUGAAACCCUAGCCGCCGCUCUCUAAACUUUGUUCUCUCUGAAUCUUCGUUGGAAUUGGCUAGCACCGGUCAUCGGAGAAGUUCUGUUCGUGUGGACUGAGUAGAGGCAUCGCUGCUUUGCUUUGCUCGUGAUUAGAAAUAUUUCUUCUACAAAGGUUCUGCUCUUCAAGAGGUAAACACGUGAAUCUUAAAGUGUUUAAGUUUCUGUUUGAUUUGUGAUUAAUGAUUUAAUCAAGAUCCGUUUCAAUGGGAUUUCUUCCGCAAAGAGGAUUAAUAUUUUGAAAAACCCCUCUUAAAAUCCCUUCAGUGGUAUCAGAGCAUCGGUUGUGAUUAAAUCAUUUGAUUCAAAUCAGAAUUAUACAUCCGAAUAAUAGUUAUAUGAUGAUAUGAUUAUAUAUGUUUGCAUCUAUAUGAUCGAAAGCAUGUUUGUGUUCUCAAUUUUGUUUUGAUCGUGCGAUUCGGUAACCGUAUAUGUAUCGUUUUGUUCUUCGUGUAUACACAUCUAUCACUUUGAAAUAUGUGUGUAAUGUAUAUCAAUUAACGGUGCAUCACCCAUUUAGUUUGGAACUAUGAUCACGAGUAAUAGUGCAUAAUUAAACAAUAUAAAAUAAAAUCCAAGAGUUGAAUUUUCUAUUACUUUUGAAAGGUGAAUUUGACUUACGGUAAUACUUGUUCAAUGUGAUGCAAUCAAAAGGAAAUUUGAUUUCCUUUAUUUAAUAAGUUUUUGAAUGCAAAUCCGAUAACUGAUAAUAAUAUUAAGUGUUAAUAUUUUAUUAUUUAAAUAAUUAGAAUUAAUUAAAUUUGAUAUCAUAUAUGUGAUAUAUGAUUCUAAUGCAACAUCAUUAUAUGUGAUAUAUUGAUGAUGUCAUUCGUUCAAUAUGUUUUAUGAAAUUGAUUGUGAAUUUGUAGUCAAUUCGUGAGAUUGAGCUUCGAUAUCCGAAUAUCUGAUUCUGGUGAAGCAUCAAAGAUCCGGUUGUCCAUACUGAACGAACAAUUGUUAAAACUAUUGAUGUUUGAUUGUCGUAUUAGGUUACCUAACUAUACAAGAGUUGUAUUAUCAUGGUUGAUCAAUUGUUUUCAAGAAGAUUGUUGUGACUUUGAACAAUUCGUGAGAUUGAGCUUCGAUAUCCGAAUCUGGUGAAGCAUCAAAGAUCCGGUUGUUCAUGCUAAACAAACAAUCCUAGAAACUAUUUAUGUUUAAUUAAUUUAUUCAAUUGGAGAAAGGUAGUAAAUUUAAAAUAUGAUGAUUUUGAAAGAGUUUCAAUAUCAUAUAUGAUUUUGAAUUUAGUAAUAAAAUAUUUGCUUAAUUUUGGCACCAUAAUUUGUUUUGAAACAAAUUGGUCACCCAAAUAAUGCAUAUUUAAUUAUAAUAAUUAUUGAGUGUCAAUGUUACUAUAAUUAAGUAAAUAAAAAUUCUACCUUUUGAUUGUUUUUAAAAAGUUGUUUGAAAAGGUAAUAAACGAUCCCAAUGUGAUAUUGAAUUUAGAAGAUCAUGAUUUGAUCUUUUGAAUUUAUUUAAAAGAUUUGCAUGAUAUUAAUAUAAUUUAUUUCUAAUUUAAAAGUAUCAUGAUUUUGAAAUAGUUUCAAAAUCAGAUAUGAUCUUUUAGAUUUGGUCCUAAAAUUUGCAUAUUUCAAUUUUAUUUGGUUAUGAUCCGAUUGACUUUGAAAAUAGUUUCAAAAGGACAUAUAUACGAAUCAAUUCUAUAUGAAAUAUAUCGCGGUCAAAAUAUUGUUUCCAAAUCAUGAUUAUUCUAAAAUUGUUUUAAAUAAUUAUAAAUAGUUAUUAUUAUUUAUUUCAUGGUAUAUGGUUAUGACCUUAGUUUUCGGCGUUUGUUCAUUUAUUUAAAUAUGACCUGCGUGUCAUGAUUUAUUUUAUUUAAAUACGACCUGCAUGUCGUGAUUUGCUUUUAUUUAUUUUAUUUAAAUGUUAAAUAAUGUAAAUGCUCAAGUUGAAGAGAAGACAACGCCAAAAGAUGAUUUUGAUGGAGAAACUUUUGAAGCUUGCUCGUGGGUCAAAGAAUUGUAAUAAAGUAGUUUAUUUAAUUCUUACGCGUUAGGAGGUCAUAACCAUACUACCUAGUUAAUUAUUUUAUGUAUGUGAUGCAUGAAAUGUGUGUUUAGAUUAGUGCAUGUAUAUUUUAAAUAUUUUAUAUAUAUUUCCUAUCUAUGAACAUGAAUGUCAUGUAUAAUAUUAGAUGUGUGUAUAAGAUACACAUGUCAGUGAGAUCAACUUAAUUAAAAUCCUUCAAAUAGAAUAUGAAGUAAAUUAUUUUCAAAGUAUAACACACUUCAAGACUAAUAUCGAAAUGUGUAGGUUUUGCCUCCGCGAGGUGCACUUUCUAUACUAGUAAGUUGUGGUGCGGUAAUUCUAUUUACCGACUGUUAUUUUGGAUCUAACUUAACUAUAUUAUUUUAACAAGAUUAAUAUAUAUAUAUAUAUAUAUAUAUAUAUAUAUAUAUAUAUAUAUAUAUAUAUUUACUUCAAAAGAAUAUUAAGUUAAUUGCUUUCCAAAGAAUGACACCCUUCAAGACUAAUAUCGAAAUGUGUAGGAUUCGCCUCCGCGAGGUGCACUUUCUAUACUAGUAAGUUGCGGUGCGGUAAUUCCAUUUACCCGACUGUUAUUCUUUGGGUCCAACUUAACUAAAUUAUUUUAAUAUGAUUAAAAUAAAUUUAGAAGCAAUGUUUGGGAACAUCUAUAUGAUAGAUUAGAGUAAAGAGUUAUUCACUCAAAUGAUUUGAAAGUUGUAUGAGAUACAAUUGGAAGGAGUUCCUACCUAAAUAAUUGAGUUUUGAGUACAACCCCCGUUGACUUAAAGCAAGGUGAAAUAUGGAUUUCAAUCCACUAGAAAAUCUUCCAAUGAGAUUUUCCGAUUCAAAUGUUGAAGGUCAUUUGUUUUGAGUAAAAUAGUGGGAGCAUAUUUAAUUAAAGACCUAAUUAAUUAUGUUUUUAUAUCAUGAUAUAUAUAUUUUAUUUAUUUUCUGUAUUUAUAAUUUCUUCGGCAUAUACAUUUUAUUAUACUGUUAAAUGUUCUUAUGAAGAACAAAAUCUUCAGAAAGGAGUUUCUGAAUUGGUACAAAAUUAAGAAUUGUUCUUAAAAAUGAGAAAGAAAAAAAAAACUGUUAAUGUUAUGAAAGAGUCAAAAUAGAAGUAAGACUUCUUAUUUGCCCAUAUAGUUAUAGAAAGUUAAAUUUCUACUUCUGCAUCAUAAGUAUAUGAUACUUGAUGGUUAAUCUCAUAUUUGUUGAAAUAUAGAGAGUUUUAAAGAAGCGGGACAUUAACUAUAAGCGAAGUCCACUUAUGUCUAGAAUGAGACAAAUUGUUUCAUUGACAUAGGAGCUAAUGCUUGGACUUAAACAUAACUUGAUAUGGAACCAAAUAAUUGUUAUUAAAUUCCAUAUAAAAUAGAAGCAUUAAAUCAUAAAUCUUGUAUUAACAAGAGAAUGAUUGUGUAGUUGAAUAAAAAGACAAAUGUUGUCCUAUUAUCCAAAUAAUGUUUUCUAUACAAGUUUGCUAAUCAAGUAAUGGAAUUGAGUUCCAUGAUCUUGAUAAGCUGGUCUAUAACUUAUGAGUAAAGGAUCAAAUGAGAUUAGAACCUUUUGUAUAUCAUUGGCAUCACUGUUUAGUACAAACAAGUGUGAUUCACAUUUCCAAAAUCCAUGGAUAUGGACUAUUGGACUCAUUUGAUUUUAUAUCAUUUGAAGGAUGUGAGUCCCACCUUUCAAAAUAGAUUUGUAUACCGAUCACUAACAAAGGUGAAAGGACACGUAAUUUAUUUGAGUUUAUAUACAUAUGAGAUGUAUAUGGAGAACUAAACAUAUUUGCUAGAUAUUGUUUCUAUUACUUCAUCUGACAUUACUAAAUCAUUUAGUAGAUAAGAAAAGUGUAUUUGACACGAUUCAUGCAAACUUUGAAAUUGUUCAAAGAUUUCAACAAUGAAGUAAAAGAAAUAAGUUUGAAAAGUAUAAAGACUAUACGAGUAAGUCGUGAUGGUAAAUGCUUGAUUAAUGAGUAUAAUAAUUAUUUAUAUCGGUUUAUUUUUGACAUGACUCGAUCUAAAAUAAUUUGAUUAUAACUCAAAGACUCUUGAAAUUAAUUAAAUUACAGUUAUUCUUCACCCACAACAAGUUCUAAUUGAGUAAUCAUAAAUGCACCAUAUUAGAUAUGGAGGUAAAAGUACCUAUUUUUGACUUUAUGUUAAUUUGGGGUAAUAUGGUUUACUAGAUAAACUAAACUUCAAAUUUAAUGAAUGUAUACUUGUGGAGGUUCCCUUAGGAAACUAAAGGAUACUAUUUCUACAUCUUCUUCCUGGACAAAAGUUGUUUGUCGCUAGUACUGGAGUAUUCCUUUUCAAGGAGUAUAACUUUGCAAGAGCUAGUGGGAGUGAUGUAGAACUUGAAUUAAGUCAAGUACCACAAAAUACAUGUUUCUCAAUGGAACAUGAACUGAUUCAAUAAAGGGUUGUUGGUAAAUCGGUAGUUCUAGUAGCACAUGAUCUAGAUGAGUCUGAUAUGUCAUAACACUAGGAUGAGAAACAUGAUUUUGUCAUGACUCAUUAAGGUGAUAUGAUGCUCAUGGAAGAUGAGCACCUGACUUACUAGAAGGUCGCAAAUGACCUGAUUUUUGAGAAGUGGCUAGUUGCCAUGGGAUCUUAUAAAGAAUCCAUGUACACAAACCAUAUAUGGAUAUUGGUUAUAUCAUCCAAAUGAGUAUGACUCAUAAGAUGAAUGUGAGUUUUCUUGUAGAAAACUGACAUGGAUGGUAUUAUGAAUACCUUUAAGAUGUGAUUGAUUGUAGAAAGUUUCAUGCUACUCAUGAUGCAAAUCAUAACGAAACUAUUACAUCAUCGUAAUGCUUAAAUCUAAAGAUCCCAAUUGUCUUUGUUGUAUAAUACGAAUUCUAGGAGAUGGAUAACGAUGUUGCAUUCUUUAAUUAGAAUGACCUUAUAUAUGUAUUUGACAUAUAUGUAGGGUUCCGUUAAUCCAAAGGAUACUAGAAAGGUAAAUGUAUUACAAAAUUUAUUUAUUAGAGAAAUCUUCUCAAAGUUAAAUUGUUUAUUUUAUUAACGAAGUUUUAUGAAAACUUUGAUUAAUAAAGAAAUCUUGUGCAUAUAAGGAGACUAGUGGGAGCAUUGAAAUUAGUUUGGUGGAGUAUGUGGAUGACAUACUAGUCACCAAAAUAAUUUAUCUACACAUGUAAGACAUGGUUAGAAAAUUAUUUUCAAUAUGUACCAAAAUUGAUUAUUGUGUUCGACACUAUAAUACGUUCAAGAAUAUCCUUGGAUGUCUUAAAGGACUAUAAAUUGUUUCUUGAACACAGAUGAAAGAAACAUUGUAAAUGAGUUACAAUAAUGUUGACUUUCAUAUCGGUGUACAGUAUAUCCAGAUCUUAAUUUGGAAUAAAUGUUAUGCUAGGAUAUCAACUAUGAAAAUUGUAAAAGUACAAACUUCAGAUAGUUGUUGUUUCUAUUGCACAUGUAAGACAUGGUUAGAAAAUUAUUUUCAAUAUGUACCAAAAUUGAUUAUUGUGUUCGACACUAUAAUACGUUCAAGAAUAUCCUUUUACAAAAUUAUUUUCAAUAUGUACCAAAAUUGAUUAUUGUGAAACCCUAGCCGCCGCUCUCUAAACUUUGUUCUCUCUGAAUCUUCGUUGGAAUUGGCUAGCACCGGUCAUCGGAGAAGUUCUGUUCGUGUGGACUGAGUAGAGGCAUCGCUGCUUUGCUUUGCUCGUGAUUAGAAAUAUUUCUUCUACAAAGGUUCUGCUCUUCAAGAGGUAAACACGUGAAUCUUAAAGUGUUUAAGUUUCUGUUUGAUUUGUGAUUAAUGAUUUAAUCAAGAUCCGUUUCAAUGGGAU